AGCUUUAGUGGCCCCUCGUAUUUGUGGGUAGAACAAAGAAUAUUUGUAAAAUCCGUCUUCAUCAAACUUUCUUGGCCUAAUGGUAACGUGUCAGCUCUUCAUCUUGACGGUGUUCCACAGUCAUUUAUAAUGAUGUUUAUCUUCUUAGUUUCAUAACUGGUUGCAUCAGCUCUCAGUACAACCUUUGCUUCUCUGUCAGCUGAAAAUACCUGUUUCUCUUUGCCUGACUCAGCUAUCGCUUAGAUUACUUGUCAGAGUCUUUGAGGUGAUGGAUUUAUUUGGGAAUUUUGUUUCAAAGGGUUCUUAUUUUAGGCCAGCAAGCAAAUAUGUUUGAAAACCACUGUCAUUUCUUGGAGGAAGGAAUAAAAAGUUAAUUAGUAGGUAAAAUAUUUUACAUAUGCAAUAUGUAACAAUAAUGCCAUCUAUUUAUGUGCGUGUCUCUCUAUAUAUAUAGUGUGUUUUGAGAUUUGUUGGUUUGGUUUGUUUAUAUUUAGUCUCACCCAGGUGUCCUUGAACUGGUAAUCCUCCUGCCUCUUGCCUAUUGAAAUAAGUUGAAUUAUCAACCAGUACAUUUCAUAAAAUAAAGUAUUUAGUAAUUAUUUAGUAAUUAUUAUUAAAGUAUUUAAAUAAUUAUUUAUUUAAUUAUUUAAAUGACAAAUUAAGAGAGUUCUAAAAGUAGGAAAAUUAAUCUUGAAAUUCUCAUCUAUCCUCACUCCAUCUGUUAUUGUUUCCUUUUCAUUUUUAAUGUUCUAUUCAUUUUAAUUUCUAAGAUAAACUUUUAUAAAAUUAUUUUUGUUUAUAAAUUAUUCACUGAUACCCUGUCUUUAACAUGUCAAAUGAAUUCAAAAGGAAUCUUAAUGAAGAGUAAGGUAUUCGUGAGGUUUAGUAGAUUGGAUUUCAAAAUAACAAAUUUUCUGAAGUCCUGAGUUAAAAAUCCAGCACUAUGUUUGAUCAUUUUUCAUCAAAAAUGUAUCUGAGUUUUUGAAUAAUCGCUAGUAGGAAUAUUCAAUCAUCACGUCACACAUUGUAAGCUAUUUAAUCUAGCUCUGAGAAUAGUAACUUCUUAAACAUUGAGUCUUUUAAGUAAGUUUGCAUUGGGUAUGCAUUGGCAAGAUAACUGAUUCUACAGCAAUGUUUUAAAACGUUCAACUUAUCUAGAAGACAGAUAAGAUACAGUAGUUAAUAUAAUAGUUACAUUGCAUAUAAGUAAGGGAGAUCCAGAUGGAAAUGGAUAUAUUUUGAUUCAGAGAAUCUUGCAAGAAACUGAAAGGAGCUGGUUGAUCUCAAAUAAAACUUCGCCAGUUUGUAUUUGCCGGAUUUAGUGGUUAAGACAGAGAUGUGGUUAAUUUUUGUAUAAACCCCAACAACCUGUUACACAUUGAUUCUUUCAUUCAACAAUAGUAUCUUCUCAUUGACAGGAACCCAGGGCUACAAAAAAUCCAAGGCAAGUCUUUUUUCAAGGAAUUUUCAAUUAGUUAGAAAUCUAAUAGUAGGCAACUAAAUAUAAUAGCAUAAAUUCUAAAAUAGUGGUGUAAAAAAUGUUGUAUGGAGAACAUAAGUGUUGCUUCCAGUCCUGUCUUAAGGAAUAUUUGCCUUCUAUUUUCAUUUGCAAAGAAAAAUAACAACUAGCAGAGUUUAAAUGAUUGCUUUGUAUUUGCCCUUACUUCCUUAUAGAAACACUGUUUAACAAAAAUCGUGAUUAUUAUUGAUUUUCAAAUAAAAAGUUUUCAUAUCAAUAUAUCACAAAUUCCUGAAACCAAAAAUGGAAGCAAACUGUGCAAAUGUACUCCCAGUGAUUUGUGGCAAUGUAGGGCAGAAAUAGCACAGAUAAAAACACCUUAAAUUUAAUUUUAUCCAGCUGUUUUGACUUCUUCAGUUUUAAGAGCCAAACUCACAUAAAUUAUGUUUACUAGCUUUCAUUUCUCCUUCUACGUCACACUAAAUGAACAGCCAACCUGAAGAAAACAAAGCAUAAAGGAAUUUCACUAACAAACUAUAGGAUAAUCCCUGGAGUAUAGGAGAGUAUUUUCACAGCUUUCAUGUCUGUAUUAUAUAUGUCUGAAUUAUAAACCUUGCAUAUUAAGGGUAAAUGCAAUUAAUUUUCUCACAGUGCUAUCCUGGUUCUCAGCAUGGGCACUUAAUUUUCUUCUCAUUGACUGGUUCAUAAAAAUUUAAUCAGUUCCCCCUGAAAAAAAGUUUUGGGAUAAAGGCUUAUGACUACUUAAAUAAUUUGUUUUUUUAAAAGAUUGGGUCUCUCAAUACUGUCCAGGCUGGUCUUAAACUCUUGGACUAAAGUGACCAUCCCAUUUUAGCCUCCUAAGUGCUGCAUUUACAGGUGUGUACCAUCUUGCUUGGUUUAUAAUUUAAAAAAUUUUAAGAUAUUAAUAUUUAUAUGUUCCAUAUUUAUAGGUACUAUGCCAAUAUUUUUAUUAUAUUUAUUUUUAUAGGUCAUUAACAAAAGUGUUUUUUGAAUUUGAUCAAGUAUGCUUAUUGGUACAUUUUAGGCAUACAUAAUAAUCAUAGACACUAUAGAGAAUUUAUAUCUGCAUAUGACACAACUUGAUUCUUUUUUCCCUCUAUUUUCCUACCCUUCCUCCAAUCCCCUUUCCCUUCCUUAUUUACAAAAACUUUGCUUUAAUUUUUUUCUUCCUUUUCUAUUAUUUUUUCUCUUCCUUUCCUUUCCCCCCAAUACUUAUAUAUAUAGCAACUCAUUAAAUAUUUCAACUUAGGGUAUAGCUCAGUUGUGGAGCACAUGCAUAGUACGUGUUCAGACCUCACCAACAUAAUCUAAAAAAUGUAAAAAUCAGUGAAUUCCUGGUGAAAUAUCAGGAAAAUAUUCUGAAAAUAUUCAGAAAGAAGGAAUAAAACAGUUAGUAAAUUUACUUUGUCCUAGGACUUCACUUACUGAAAUUUCUCAAUCAUAACAGUUUAAAAAUGACUACUAACAGGCACAUUAUUGCUGUGUGUAUCUAUUUUAGAUAACAUGUGCUAAGAGGGUUGAAAUCCAAAGCUUUCCAUUGUUUCUAAAGAACUGGCCUUAUUGGCUGCCUAUUAGGUUGUAAUACCCACAACCCUUUCUAACUGCUCAUUGUUUUGGGGUGGGGAUGUGUGUGGUAAAUGCCCUUAGUAUGCCUAUUUUUUUAAAUAGAAAAACAUGACUUUUUUGAAACAUUAACAUGGUGAUACAUCGUCCCCUUACAUUGUUCUAUCACUUGCUUACAUUGUUCUAAUCACUUGCUUAUUUAUGACAAUGAACUUUUUGACAGUUUUAUCCAUUAAUGUGCUGCUGCAUUCUGAGUUGUUAGGACAGUACUUGCCACGUUAGGGGACAAUCAAUGAAUAUCUCUUGAUUAAGCAAAUUUUCUGAGUCAUGUUGUUAUGGAAAUUUAAAAAACAUUUUAUUUUCAAUCUCCACCAUCAUUUUGUAAUUUAGGCCCAUCAAGUAUUACUGUUACAUUGUUGAAAAAUAAAAUUCAUCACAAGCUUAAAAUUUCUAGGUCAUGCAGCCUGUUAAAUGUAUCUUACUGAAUAUUUCACUUAAAAUAUAUGUAGCUUUAUUUGGAGCCUUUUUCCUUAUUUAUGAAGAAUUUCAAAACAAAUAUUUACUUACUGUCUUGAUAAGUAAAAUGUUAGGUCCUAGAUCUGCCUUUCAAAUACUAUUAUGUUUUGUUAAAAGUUACCCAAAACUUUACCCUUGCCUUCAGAAGGCAUUUUAAAUCCUGUAAGUCAAUCUAUAUCUUCUCUAGGUUCCCUGGCUUUUAAUCUUGUUAAAACCACAGAUAUAUUACCCAUCUAUAGCAUGAUAUCAUUUUUUUCUUUUUUCUUUAAAACUCAGUAUUACUAGAGAUGCUUUAACUGUUGGCCCCUAAAGUGAAGUAUAGCAAGCUUUUGCUAUGGAAAUUGACAUUCUAUUUUAGUUUAUGCUAAUUAUCUGUGACCAAAGGAAAACAACAUAUGCUUGCAAAGGUCUAAAUUGCAGAAUUAUGCUACAGAAUAUCCAAAACUGAUGAAGGAGCUUUAGAAAAAUUGGUUUGGUUUUUAUCUUUUUUUUAAUUCAUUAUAAAAACUGAUAUAAAUCUCUCUGUUUAUGGGGUACUGUGUGAUGCUUUGAAAUAUGUAUAUAGAUAGAUAGAUAGAGAUAUCUAUAUCCUCAGACACUCAUUCUUUCUUUAUGUUUAAAACAUUCAAAAUAUUUUCUUCCAGCUUUUGUGCAAUACAGAGUACAUUAUCAUUAUCUACAGUCUCCCUGUAGUACAACAAAACAUAAGAAUUUUUCUCUUAACUUGGUACCUGUUGAUUAGCUAUGCUUAAAAGGCAGAUUUACAUGCAAUAGAAUGGAAAGACCUUAAGUACUUAGUUUCAUGAAUAUUGACAUUUAUAUGCAUAUAUUAACUGCUAAUGCUUAUGAGACAUUAAUUUCCAUCACCUCUGAAAAGACACCUCCUGUCUUUUCCUGACAAAUCUCCCUUUGACCCCCAAGACAAUAUCCUAAUCUGUUCCACCAUAGAUUAGUUUACCCAUCUUCAUUUUAAUAUAAAUGGGUCUGGUUUCUUUAGCUUAGCAUAAUGUUUUGACAUUUUAUGUUAUUGAAUAUAACACUUUUUCCUUUCUUUGUGUUCCAUCCAUUGGGUUAGUUCCAGUUAUUGACUGUUAUAAAUAUGCAAUGGUAAAUAUUACUGUACCAGGGUUCAUGGGAACCUAUGUUUUCUUUUCUACUGGGUAACUCAUAGUGGAAUAGCUGACUGUUUCAGUCACUUUGGGUUGCUAUUUAAAACACAAUAGAUUGUAUGGCUUAUAAAUAGUAUACAUUUGUUUCUUACAGUUCUGGAGGAUGGAUGUCCAAAAUUAGGGUGUCAGCAUGGUUGGGUUCUGAUGAGGGCACUCUCCCAGGUCACAAACUGCCUAUUUCCCUGCAUUUUCACAGGGCCCAAAGACAGAGAGCUCCCUCUCUAGCCUUUUUUCAUAAGGGCACUAAUCCCACUCUUUAGGACUCUACCCCAUGAUCUAACUACCUCCCACAGGGGCCAUUUCCAAAUAGCAUCAAGUCAGGAUUAAAGUUUCAACAUAAGAAUUUGGGGGGGCACCAACAUUCAGUCUUUUGCACUGCGUAUAUUUACUUUUAUAAGUAAAUAUGAUUUUUAAAAGUGACUGAACUAGUAAUGUUUCACGUGGCAAAGAUUUUUAUUUCCUUUAGUUUUCAUUUAAUGUGCUGAAACUGCACUUAGCAUAUGUAUAGUUCUAAAUAAUCCACAUUUCCCCCAAAGUCUCUUGAUAACUAGUUAACAAAAUAGUCUUGGUGUUGGGAAAAUAAAACUUGACCUAGAGUAGUUUCCAUAGGUCCUAUGAUCUGUCAAACAAUGGGAAAAAACAUCUGGUUCUAAGGAUACUGUCUCCUUUGGUUAUUUAGAGAGUAAGGGAAAUGCUGCCCUUGAGAGUUUGUUGUUAUUUGGAUAUUGAAUGCUAUUAUCUGUGAAGUGUGUGAAGUCCAAUCCAAGAAUUUAAUUAAAGUUAUUUGGGAUCAGCAGUGCCAUUAGAUACCCAGAAGAGGCAAUUAUCAAUCUUCUCUGGAUGGAAACAUAUUCAACCAAUCCUCAAGUAAUUUCCCUUAUGAAAUCCCAAGAGAAGUGAGUUAUUAUCAAAAAUCACAAAACACACGAAGACUCAACAGAAACAACAAAUAGAAUCAAAUUUUCAAAGAAUUCAGUUACUUCAAUAUGAACAAUAUUUAUUUUGGUUCAGUAAAUAGAUGUGGCAUUAAAAGUUAUGAAUAAUAUCAGAAUAAUAUAAUUGGAACCUUAUCUAUCACCAUAUAAAAAUCAACUUAAAAUGACUUAAAAACAUAAAUGUAAGACCCAAAGCAUUUACAUUACUAGAAGAAAACACGAGAGAAAAGGUUUUGCAUUGAUUUAGCCAAUGACUUUCUGAGCAUGUCCUAGAAAGCAUAGGUAACAAAAGUAAAAUAAUACAAAUCAAAGUUAAACUAAAAAGCUUCUACCCAGUCAACAAUCAACAGAAUGAAAAAACUAUCAAUGGAAUGGGAGAAGAUACUUGCAAAUUAUAUCUAUUAAGGGAUUGAUAUCCUAUACAUAAUAAACUAUUACAAUUCAAUAACUAAAAAAGCAUAAAUAACUAAAAAGUAUGCAAAGGACUUAAAGUUUUCCCAAGACGUGUAAAUGAUGAAUAGGCAUGUGCAAAGGUGUUCCUUACUAAUCAUCAGAAAUACAAGUUAAAAUCACAAUGAGUUAUCCUUUCACAUUACUUAAGACACUAUUGUCCAAAAGACAAGAUAAUGUGUUGGUAAGGAUGUGGAAAAAAGGGAAUCCUUAACACAGUUGGUGAAAAUAUACAUUAGUUAACUAUUAUGGAGGUAUGUAUGCAUUAAAAAUGGAACUAUCAUAUGAUCCUGCAAUGCCAUUUCUUGGGUAUAUGCUGUAUUUUUAAAAAAACAAAUCAGUGUGUCAAAGAGACAUCCAGUUCCAUGUCACUGUAGCAUUACUCAUAAUAAUCCACAUCAAUGAAUGAAUGAAUGGUAAGGGUUCAUCACUGGAUGAAUAGAUACAGGAAAUACAUAUAUAUAUGUGUGUAUAUAUAUAUAUAUAUGUGUGUGUGUAUAUAUAUGUGUGUGUGUGUGAAAAAUUUGGAAAACUAGAAUUUCUAAUUGUGAAAAUAAAAUUACAAAUUAGAAAUGCAAGUGGUGAAGUAAACAGAUUAGGUACAACUGAAUAUUUAAUAAACUGGAAUACAUACUUGAAGAAAUUACCUAGAACAUAGCAUCGAGGUCCAAAUAAAUUUAAAAAAUAUGUAACAGAAGUUAAUAGAAAUGGAGAACAAAGGAAGAUAUUUCUUUUUUCUUUUACAUGUGUCUAUUUAUUUUCUUUUCCUCCUUAUAUAAAACACAAACUCCCUAGGGUUAGAAUUACAGGCAUGCACUUCCAUGACAGGUAUGUGCUUCCAAGUAUGUAAUCAGUAUUGCUGGAAAUGUGUCUUCAGGGUGGAUGAAGGAAGAUAUUUCUUUUUUUUUAAUUUUUUUUUUUUUUGGUCUUUUUUCAUUUUUAUCGGUACCAGGGAUCGAACUCACGACCGCCUGCUUGCAAGGCAGGUGCUUAUGCCGCUGAGCUAAACCCCCAGCCCCAAGGAAGAUAUUUCUAAUCAGGGCUGCAAAAGAAGGGAAGAUAAAAUAGGGAAAAGACCAUAUUUGAAGAAAUAAUGUCUGAGAAUUUUAUAGAAUCAAGGAAAGACAUACUCAGAUUUAGGAAACUCAACAAUUCCCAAAAAAGAAUGAAUAGAAACAAAUUCUGCAGAACAUGAAGCUAAAGAUGUUUUUAAAAACCAGAGAUAAAGGACUUCCAGGAGAACAUAGCAGAUAGAUAACAGCAGCUGUGGAGGCUCUCCGAGAUAGCCAGCUUAAAAUCCAGAAAUGGUGUGGUGUGAGGAGUCCUGAGCAAGGGGAGAUAUACCCUGCUGACCCAGGAACAAACUAAGUUGAGAGAAACCAAUUGGAAAUGUAAUCCCGGUGCUAUAACUGGAACAGAUAAAAUCUCAGCAGAAGCUGGAACCCACGUGGCGAUUUGAAUUUCCUGCCGCCACUGCUGCAUCUGAAUAAGCACAGCAGGAACAGAGAGGCGAAACCUCUGAGAGUGGGAAUUGGCAAAUGGAGCUGAGAGCGGAACCGGCGGGGAGCCCUGCAUUGACCUAUGGUGAGUGAGAGGAGCAGGGACCCUUCCAUAGACUAGGAGGCUCCAACAGAGGACAUUCUGGGACCUGGCAGACUAGCUGGAACAGGACGCUGCAGUGACUUUAGUCACAUAUUCCCUCUCAAGCGGGAUUGGUAGGGAGCCUUGACCUGGGUGACGCCACGGACUAAGACCCAGUAGGCUAGCCCAAAUCAGAUCCCAGUGCCUGGCGGUGCACUCUAGCAGUGAAGCUUUCAGUAGGUUGACUGACCUGGAGGGGUGGGCACAGGAGACUGCCCAAGUCUGUGUCUCCCUGGUACACUGCAGGGGGCGGGAACACCUAGCCGGCGGAUUCAAACAAACUGUAACUGACAAAGAAAAAAACUGGGCCUCCUAUAUACGCUUGCAUGGAAGGAACAAAAAGUAUGGGAAGAGGGAGCAACAAGAAAGGGUCCUCAGCCCCCAAUCCUGAGAACACUGAUAAAUGCAAAGGUAAAUGCAAAGGAGAAUGAGGACAGAAAACAUGCAAUAUCAGACACGGCACCAAUAGACAGUAUCUCUGGAGCCUCAUAGACAAGUUCAAAAGUGAAGUAUUUAAUGACCUAAAGCAAGAUAUUAGUAGAAUAAUUUGAGAAAUGCUAAGCACCACCCAAGAAAAAACAGAUGGUGGAAUGGAAGAACAGAAAAAAAGAGGAGAAUUGUUUGAUGGAGAAAAUAGAGAAAACAUAGAAUAUGUGAAGCAGGUUCAAAGAGAUUACCAGGAAACUAAAAACCCUAUUGAAAGCUGGCAUAAUAGCUUGAAAGAAACUAAGGAUAGAUUAUCUGAACUAGAGGACAGAUUUGUAAUGUGGGAGCAAGAAAUGAAAAACUUCUUAAAAAUAACAAGAAAACAAACAGCAAUAAUACAAAGGCUUGAAGAUGAUAAGAGGAUCUAUAACUUAAGAAUUAAGAAUGUAAAAGAAGAAGUAGGGACACAAACAAAUGAACUACAAAGGCUAUUCACAGAAAUAAUCCAGGAGAAUUUCCCUAAUCUAACAAAAGGUAAAGAUACUCAGAUGUAUGAGGCAUACAGGACCCCAGCCACCUACAACCCAAACAGAGCUACACCCAGGCAUAUAAUAAUCAAAAUUCCAGAAAUCCAAUAUGAGAACAGAAUAUUAAAAGCCAUCAGAGACAAGAAACAGAUCACUUACAAGGGAACACCCAUCAGAAUUACAGCAGACUUUUCGGCACAAAACAUCAAAUCACGAAGAGCAUGGGGGGAAAUAAUUCAAGCUUUGAAAGAUAAUAACCUCCAGCCAAGAUUGAUAUAUCCUGCACAACUAUCCCUGGAAAUUGAUGGAAAAACUAGGUGCUUCCAGGAUAGAGAGGAACUAGGGGAAUUUGCAACCACCAAUUCAAAUGUACAGAGAAUACUGCAGGACAUUCUAAAAAAAGAAAAAUACCAAGAUUCCAGAAACAGUGGAAGAGAGGCUACAAUGAAUAGAGCAGAAAUCAAAAUGAAAAAAGACAAACUGACAACUAAUGACAGAAAAAGAGCUCAACAGAAAUGAGGCAGAGAAGGUUGAAUGGUAGGAACUGUUAUUUUGUAGAAAACAAGACAUCAUAAUAGCUAGUGCUGAUUUAAUAUCAUCUUGUUUUGAAGUCCCACCAAGCUUUUGUUCUUCUGUUUCCAUCGGUCUUAACAUGUUGUAUCUUAUUGGAUUUUAUUAUAUGUGAUAAUAUAAACAAAAACUUUUAUAGACAAGGAGAUUAUACAGAAACCGUUGUUCAUUUUCUGUUAGUUGGUUCUAAAUACCCUGUAAUACUGUCAUUCUCUUGAAUGGUUUUACAUUGUCUUGAUGUGUUUGAUGCUACAGUAUAUGAAGUUAUACUCAAGGAUUUCAAGGAAAGAGACGCUAUGGAAGCCUUUUGGAGCUAUCCUGUCUGGAAAGGUGUUUAGAACCGAAUAUCACUUACUCACUCUCAUCCUUAAAUUAUUCUUUCGUGACUUUCCUGCAACCAGUGAAGGACACUCAGUCUACUGUGGGACUCUUUCUACAU